GAGUUUGAUCCUGGCUCAGGAUGAACGCUAGCGGCAGGCUUAACACAUGCAAGUCGAGGGGUAUAGGUUUUCGGACCUAGAGACCGGCGCACGGGUGCGUAACGCGUAUGCAAUCUACCUUUUACAGAGGGAUAGCCCAGAGAAAUUUGGAUUAAUACCUCAUAGUAUAAUGAUUCGGCAUCGAGACAUUAUUAAAGUUCCAACGGUAAAAGAUGAGCAUGCGUCCCAUUAGCUAGAUGGUAAGGUAACGGCUUACCAUGGCGACGAUGGGUAGGGGUCCUGAGAGGGAGAUCCCCCACACUGGUACUGAGACACGGACCAGACUCCUACGGGAGGCAGCAGUGAGGAAUAUUGGUCAAUGGGCGCAAGCCUGAACCAGCCAUGCCGCGUGCAGGAUGACGGUCCUAUGGAUUGUAAACUGCUUUUGUACAGGAAGAAACAGUUCUACGUGUAGAACCUUGACGGUACUGUAAGAAUAAGGAUCGGCUAACUCCGUGCCAGCCGCCG
rnacentral:rRNA from 1 species